GACGAACGCUGGCGGCGUGCUUAACACAUGCAAGUCGAACGGAAAGGCCCUGCUUUUGUGGGGUGCUCGAGUGGCGAACGGGUGAGUAACACGUGAGUAACCUGCCCUUGACUUUGGGAUAACUUCAGGAAACUGGGGCUAAUACCGGAUAGGAGCUCCUGCUGCAUGGUGGGGGUUGGAAAGUUUCGGCGGUUGGAGAUGGACUCGCGGCUUAUCAGCUUGUUGGUGGGGUAGUGGCUUACCAAGGCUUUGACGGGCAGCCGGCCUGAGAGGGUGACCGGCCACAUUGGGACUGAGAUACGGCCCAGACUCCUACGGGAGGCAGCAGUGGGGAAUAUUGCACAAUGGGCGGAAGCCUGAUGCAGCAACGCCGCGUGCGGGAUGACGGCCUUCGGGUUGUAAACCGCUUUCGCCUGUGACGAAGCGUGAGUGACGGUAAUGGGUAAAGAAGCACCGGCUAACUACGUG
rnacentral:rRNA from 1 species